rnacentral:rRNA from 1 species
AACGCGAAGAACCUUACCAGGUCUUGACAUCCCGCCGACCGCCUAGGAGACUAGGCCUUCCCUUCGGGGACGGCGGUGACAGGUGGUGCAUGGUUGUCGUCAGCUCGUGUCGUGAGAUGUUGGGUUAAGUCCCGCAACGAGCGCAACCCUUGAUCUUAGUUGCCAGCAUUCAGUUGGGCACUCUAAGGUGACUGCCGGUGACAAACCGGAGGAAGGUGGGGAUGACGUCAAAUCAUCAUGCCCCUUAUGACCUGGGCUACACACGUGCUACAAUGCAUGGUACAAAGGGCUGCGAACCCGCGAGGGGGAGCCAAUCCCAUAAAACCAUUCUCAGUUCGGAUUGUAGGCUGCAACUCGCCUACAUGAAGCUGGAAUCGCUAGUAAUCGUGGAUCAGCAUGCCACGGUGAAUACGUUCCCGGGUCUUGUACACACCG